rnacentral:tRNA from 1 species
GCCUGGGUGGCUCAGUCGGUUGAGCGUCCGACUUUGGCUCAGAUCAUGAUCUCACGGUCUGUGGGUUCGAGCCCCGCGUCGGGCC